GUGUACCUACGGGAGGCAGCAGUGAGGAAUAUUGGUCAGUGGGAGAGAUCCUGAACCAGCCAAGCCGCGUGAGGGAAGACGGCCCUAUGGGUUGUAAACCUCUUUUGUCGGAGAACAAAACCCGGGACGAGUCCCGGACUGCGUGUAUCCGAAGAAAAAGCAUCGGCUAACUCCGUGCCAGCAGCCGCGGUAAUACGGAGGAUGCGAGCGUUAUCUGGAUUUAUUGGGUUUAAAGGGUGCGUAGGCGGUCUGCUAAGUCAGCGGUAAAAUUGCGGGGCUCAACCCCGUCGAG
rnacentral:rRNA from 1 species